rnacentral:misc_RNA from 1 species
AACCAUAGAAACCUGCGGAGUACCUGCGGAGGGAUCAUUAUUGAAUAAACUUGGUUAGGUUGUUGCUGGCUCUUCGGAGCAUGUGCACGCCUACUCCAUCUUUAACCACCUGUGCACCUAAUGUAGAUCUGAGAAACUCGAGGAAACUCGGUUUGAGGAUUGCUGAGUGAAAGCCGGCUAUUCUUGUCAUCAGAUCUAUGUCUUUAUAUACCCCACAUGAAUGUAUUCGCAUGUUGUAAC